UAAAGCGCACGCAGGCGGUCUGUCAAGUCGGAUGUGAAAUCCCCGGGCUUAACCUGGGAACUGCAUUCGAAACUGGCAGGCUAGAGUCUUGUAGAGGGGGGUAGAAUUCCAGGUGUAGCGGUGAAAUGCGUAGAGAUCUGGAGGAAUACCGGUGGCGAAGGCGGCCCCCUGGACAAAGACUGACGCUCAGGUGCGAAAGCGUGGGGAGCAAACAGGAUUAGAUACCCUGGUAGUCCACGCCGUAAACGAUGUCGAUUUGGAGGUUGUGCCCUUGAGGCGUGGCUUCCGGAGCUAACGCGUUAAAUCGACCGCCUGGGGAGUACGGCCGCAAGGUUAAAACUCAAAUGAAUUGACGGGGGCCCGCACAAGCGGUGGAGCAUGUGGUUUAAUUCGAUGCAACGCGAAGAACCUUACCUGGUCUUGACAUCCACAGAACUUUCCAGAGAUGGAUUGGUGCCUUCGGGAACUGUGAGACAGGUGCUGCAUGGCUGUCGUCAGCUCGUGUUGUGAAAUGUUGGGUUAAGUCCCGCAACGAGCGCAACCCUUAUCCUU
rnacentral:rRNA from 1 species